GUGGCAACCCUCACCGCUAAAAUCACCGUCCACCUCUGUGUAAACCAUCAAGAAAUAUCUAUUCUCUUCGUCUCCUCUAAUUCCUCCUUGAAACCUAUCCACCACGAACCCUCCACUGGGUAAUCUCAAAUAGUCAACCCAACUGAAGUCUCAUCUAAAUUUGAAUACACACGACCAAUUUAGCUACUUCAUCACUGUCAAUGGCGGUAGGUAAUUUGUGGUAAAAAACGAGGCACAUGUUUCAUAAAUGAAGCCAUGGGAGUACGCAAAUGAAAUGGAACAGAUGAUCACAAAGGCAUGUUAUGAACUUUGCCCCCUACUCAAAUUGCUCCUUGUAGUCCGCGUAACACGGUUUGUUAUCAACAUGGGUUUUGCUUAUUUCCAUUAUCGGUAAUGCUUCCGCCGCCACUUUAGAUGUAGAAAGUUGCUCGUUUCGGCUAGCGUUCUAGAUUUCUAUUUAUAUACAUGCCACAACCCUACACUCAAAAUGAUCAAAUAACUAUCGGUUUAGUGAUAGUGUGAGCUUUGAGAUGAUCUGACUUGAUGAGUUCCCCAAGGUAAAAAUCUAUAAGGAAAAGAGAAGACAAUCUAAGUAAGCAUAUAAGAUGCUCAGUAAGUUCAUAGGUAUUAGACAAAACUUGCAUUAUCUUUUAUCUAAAUACAAUAAGCUAUCAUAAGUUGGUUGUAACACUCUAUAUCCGAACUGAUCGCUGGAUCCGAGUACCAAAUGUCACAAAUUGCCCAAGUUACUUAACAAUCUUUCUAACUUGAUUUAUUAACAAUUUAAACAACUUCAAAAUUAAUCCAUAUUUACCACAUAAUUUUACUCUAAUCUCUUUAAUUAUCAACAGGUUUCAAAAUAUAACUACAAAUAAACUUCUUACAAUUUCUAAGGUUUUUACAAUCAUUUCUGUAGGGGUAGAAUAAAAAGAAACUGAACACGUUUAACUCCUUGAUCAUCUUAAGAUCAUCCCUCUUAACCUAAGGUGGCAGUCUUCUACUCUUUUUUUUUUGAAGUUAUCUAUUGGCGUAUAAACUGCUAAGACAUCUUCCCCUUAUUGAUCCUACGACUAUUUGACCAGUUUUGCUAAUUUUACAGAGGUUUCGUCAUAGUUACGGACCCUGACCUUUCCCCACAUGUAUUCUUUCUUCCAUCCAGCCUCUAUUCCAGAUAUUAGUCUGUUCAAGGUUUUUAUGUUAAACACUUAAUUGCAAGGUUUAAUGGUCAUUUACCAGUAUGGUUCCUCUUUCCCAUCAUGUACUUAAGUGGUUGCUCUAAUAGACUUCCGUCUUGAGAAACCCUUGGAUACGCUCUCCUUUGGUGAACAAUCCAAUACUGACUAGUUUCAGAUUAACUAUUUCUUCUCACUAUAGUCCUGAAGGACUUGUUGACUUCUUAUCUGUCGGGUUAGCUAAUGCGGUCCCAUCCAUCACUAGCGGAUGAAGUACCACUUGAUCGAUAUAGUGUCCAGAUUACUUCCUCGUGACCCGCCUUAUUUGCGUUACCUUGCGUUUAGGUGUAACAUGUUCGUCUGAAGUGAGUCACUCUAGCUUAUAGUAUCUUGCAGGUUGUCAUCAGAGUGAUCAUUGCAGUUUACCAUUUCUCUUAUGUAAUGGUUCCCUACGGAACUAACCCUUUGGCUGACGCUUUUUCAAUAGUUUCCCCUUAAAGAAUAACACUCUUAACAAAAAAACCUGUCACUCGGUUAGUCCUUUUUAGUACCUCUAUCUGUCAAUCGGUUCUAACUAACACCUCUUUUCCAUUUAAUCAAUCCAGAGUAUAGGCGAUUAACCCUCCCCGCACAAGCCAUGAUUUAACAAACCUUAUAUCGAGAGUGUAUCCCCCAUUAACCUUCUAAGGUUUUCCUUUAACAUGCCGAGCUUUUUUUAACACUACUUGGUGGUUCUUAGUGGUGGAUCAUUACCGCGAACUACAGAUAAUUACCUUUUCAUUACCCAUAGACAAGGCAUUAACGACACCUCAUUCCCCUAAUAGAUCUUAGCUGGGUUAUCACCAUAUGCCCUAUUGGCUUCCAUGAUCAUUGUCUUGGCGAACUGUUUCCCUUUUUCUACAACACUUGCAUUAUUCUUCUGCCUUGUUUGGAAAAUUCCUCAGAAUCCACUUACCAACACUUGCAUUAUUCUUCUAACUCAUUUUUCCAUAUGUGUGAUUUUUCAUAAUUACCGUCAUGGCGGUCUACCUCGUGUUUAAUGUCCUAGCAGACUACCCCACGUUUAAUGUUUUGGCGGACUCUGUUGGUUGCCAUAGUCGAUUUUACAGCCUUUCACCCCAUGUGAUUUGAGAGAACACAACACCUUACUUGUAAUUAUCUCUGCCAAUUUAGGGGCAGAAAGAGAAGCUCCACUCCUUCAUGUGUUGAAAGCACAUAAAAAGGCGAUUGGGUGGAUGAUUGAUGAUAUUAAGGAAAUAAGCUUAUCCUUUUGCCAACAUAAAAUAUUCUUAGAAGAGGGAAAAAAAGCUUAUUUUAGAUGCACAGUGGCGCCUCAACCCGACAAUGAAAAAAGUCGUGAAGAAGGAGCUCACGAAGUGGUUGGAAGUUGGUAUUGUCUACGCUUUUUCUGGUAAUGAUUGGGUAAGUCCCAUACAUUGUGUUCUAAAAAAAAAAAAGAGGGAUAACUGUGGGAAACGAAAAAGAUGAGCUCAUACCGACUAAAACUGUGACUGGGUGGUACGUAUGCAUUGAUUAUUAGAAGCUUAAUGAUGCUACAAGAAAAGGAUCAUUUCCCUUUGUCAUUCAUUGAUUAGAUGUUAGAUAGACUAGCGAUGAGAGUUUUAUUGUUUCUUAGAUGAGUAUUUUGGAUAUCAUCAAAUUCCCAAUUCACUCGGAUGAUCAAGAAAAAACCAUAUUCACCCGCCCAUUCGAUACUUAUGCCUUCCGAAGGAUGCCUUUUGGGUUAUGUAAUGCUCCCGCCAAUUCAUGAGGUGUAUGACCUCUAUUUUUGCUGAUAUGAUCAAGGAAGGGUUGGACAUAUUUGUGGAUAACUUUUCAGUAUAUGGAGACUCAUUCAUUGAAUGUUUGGGAACCCUUGAGAAGGUGCUUGAACGAUGUGAGGAAACAAAUUUAGUUUUGAAUUGGAAAAAGUGUCAUUUCAUGGUUAUGGAGGGCAUUGUCCUAGGACAUCGGUUCUCCAAAAGAGGAUUAGAGGUUGACCAGGCAAAAAUUGAAGUUAUUGAAAAACUUCCACCCCGGUCCUCGCUGCGUGGAAUCCGUAAUUUUUUGGGGCAUGCUGAAUUUUAUCGGUGUUCAAUCAAAAACUUUUCACACAUCUCUAAAUGGUUGAGCCGUCUUUUACAGAAAGAAAAGAAAUAAAAACAAUUUAACGGUACAGACUUUCAACCAAAACACUCCGUUUUCAUUAAGGCUCGUUGCACACCGUUUCAUUAAUUUCAACUAAAAUGCAUCAUUUGCCCUUUUCCUCUUAAGCUUCUAUAUUUCAAUUUUGACCUGUAUAAUAAACAAAAAUUGAAUAUCAAAGAAAAUAAAAAAGGAGAGUCAAUAUUAAAGAACUGCAUUAUUUUUUUCUUGAAAAGAUCAUGAAACAUUAUUAAUGGAGAUGAUCAAGUGCGGAGUGAUGACUUUGUAGUAUAUAAUGGAUUCAUUUCCGUGAUGCUUGUAAGUGCAUGUUCCAUCAAAAACCUUUCUUCCUUCAUUUUUUUGUUUAUUCAUUAUUGCUAAUUGUAUGUCGAGAAACUUUCAUACAUAAAUGGCAAUUUUAACUUUGAACUUCUUGGCUUUUUGUGUUUUUGGGUGGUGUUUACAGGUGUUGAGUGCUCCAUAUCUCCAAACCACACCAACAAAAAAUAUGCAGGUACAAACAACAUGAUGAUCCAACUAGAAUCUUCCCAGGAAGAUAAAAAGUGUUUCAAAUAACAUGCUUCUUGAAAACAAUGGAGAUAAAAACACCAUUUUAGGAAUAAAAUGAACUGCCUUCUUAUUUCAAACCCUCUAAGUUGUUUAGACUAUUCAUUUUUCUUCAAGUACAAUCCUACUCCCAUGUCCAACAGACAUUCCAGACCUAUACUUGUAUCCAACAUUUAGACCCCAGUCAUCUCUAUUUAUAGAACUGAUUCGGUUUGAUUUGUGUGUUCAAAAGUUACGGGUGGAUUUGGAUGGGAUUAGUUUUUAUUUUCCAGGAUGCAUUACAACCUGAGAAACCGAGGUUUAUGUCUUGUUCCAAUCUCUUGUACUGUUGGACUUGCUCGAAGCAAUGGUGCCGAUAUCUGGGCUCCCAUCAAGACCACAUCCCCGAAAUUUGGCUAAGCUAUCUAGCAAUUCUUUUGAGAUUUCAUUUCUCUGCAACUGGAAGGCUUUGAGAUUUCACUAAAUCAGUUUAGAAGAUAACCAACUUAUUAUCCAAUGCACAGUUUUAUGGGUUGUAGCAAAAUUUAUUUAGAUGAUACACUAAGAUAAGAUGGUGGUAGGCAAAAUUAUUAGUUUUAGAUGGGUAGAAUUGUGAAUCUAAAUUGCAGUCUUGCAUCUCUAUAGUUUUAUGCAGGCGUCAAACUUUCCACCAACGGACUUGAAGCAUAAUCUGCAAAAACAAAGGCAAAGAGAAAGGGGA
rnacentral:lncRNA from 1 species